rnacentral:rRNA from 1 species
GACGAACGCUGGCGGCGUGCUUUACACAUGCAAGUCGAACGGUGAAGGUGGAGCUUGCUCCGCCGGAUCAGUGGCGAACGGGUGAGUAACACGUGGGCAACCUGCCCCUAACUUUGGGAUAACUACUCGAAAGAGUAGCUAAUACCGGAUAUGAAGUCUGUAGGCAUCUACGGAUUUGGAAAGUUUUUCGGUUAGGGAUGGGCCCGCGGCCUAUCAGCUUGUUGGUGAGGUAGUGGCUCACCAAGGCGACGACGGGUAGCCGGCCUGAGAGGGCGACCGGCCACACUGGGACUGAGACACGGCCCAGACUCCUACGGGAGGCAGCAGUGGGGAAUAUUGCGCAAUGGGCGAAAGCCUGACGCAGCAACGCCGCGUGCGGGAUGAAGGCCUUCGGGUUGUAAACCGCUUUCAGCAGGGAAGAAGCGAAAGUGACGGUACCUGCAGAAGAAGCACCGGCUAACUACGUGCCAGCCGCCGCUGUAA